UGAGUGAGACAUUAGAAGUUUGAAGUAGCUCCAGAUGAAUUGAAUAACAAGGUUCCAAUGCAUCAGGUUGUGUGAAUCUUUUCUUUUCCUUAUCUUUCUUUUUCUCUCUUUUUCCCUAUUUCUUUUUAGUUCUAGACAUCACACAAAGCUGGAUACUCCAACUGGUUAGAAGUAUAUUGGAUAUUAGAUGCAUCAUAAACCUUUUGUUUUGAAAAUGCAGCCUGAAACUGACAGGGAAGCAGGAGGAAACAAGGAAUCAUCAGUGAAGUUUAAGUCCAGCUAGUCCUUUAGCCAUUGUCUACUUAUAGAGACCUAGAAGCGUUAGCGUAAGAACAGAUACAAAGCAAUAAUUUAUUUAUUUGUACGGGGUUUUGACAAAUCUCUUGAUGUGGAUCAGAUGCAUUGAGGUCGGAAAGCCUCGAGCGUGUGCAACCCAGCUCUCUUACAAUCCAACACAGGCCUGGAUAGAAGGUGUGCAAUAUCCAAGCUUUCCAUCAGGUGGUUCCCCACUUCUUGAUGCCACGGUUCAAAAAUCAGGCAAGUCCACUCCAUAUGCUUAUUCAAAGUGGAAGUAACUAUAUAGAUUGUAGGCUCAGGGGUCCACAAUGCUUACAUGGAUGCAUGAUCAAAACUGCUCAUCAGUUUUAUCCUUGAAGAAAAAGGGAAGAAAAAUCUGUCCACAUUUAUAUAUAAAAAAAUCCAUAGCUAUUCUCCUCCAUCUGCUAGUUACAGGUAUUUAUUGGUUCCUUUUAUUUUAUAUCAAAUUUGUUUUUUGGUUAUUUUAUUUUGUUUUGUAAACUUUUGUCUUUGCAUUGGUAACUAAAGGUGGAGCAUUUGGGGUGGAGCAUUGGUAACAGACGGGAGCUUUGCUGCUUAAUAUGGGGAUGGAUAUGGACUUCAUUCGGUAUGGUUGUUUUUGCAGAAAAUAUUUAUAACUGAAAAUUUAAUUUUAGAUUGUGUAACUUAGAUUAUAAGUGUACAUACUGUUUUAUUACUUGACCUCUAUGCAUGGCAAGGUGGUGCUGACAAAGGUCUUCUAUAUGGCAUGAAUUCUGGUUCUUGGGGUGCAUUUGAGAAGUCUCGCCUUGGGUGUCGUUGAAGUCCAUUGAUUUUUAUUUUUUUUUUCCUUUUGCUUUUCCUUGUACCUCAAUUUGUAAAUUUUCUGUCCAUUAUAUAACCUUUCAUUCUCAGGCCCCUUGUAAAUGAGGCUGGUUGUAAAUGAUUUACAGGUUGUGUUUGAAUGCUAAUUUAAGCC